rnacentral:tRNA from 1 species
AAGCUGCCAGAGUGGUCGAAUGGGCCGCACUCGAAAUGCGGUGAACGGGUAACUGUUCCGGGGGUUCGAAUCCCUCGGAGCCUC